rnacentral:rRNA from 1 species
GACGAACGCUGGCGGCAUGCCUAAUACAUGCAAGUCGAGCGAACAGAUGAAGUGCUUGCACUUCUGACGUUAGCGGCGAACGGGUGAGUAACACGUAAGGAAUCUGCCUAUAAGCGGGGGAUAACAUUCGGAAACGGGUGCUAAUACCGCAUAAUAUCUUCUUCCGCAUGGAAGAAGAUUGAAAGACGGCUCUGCUGUCACUUAUAGAUGACCUUGCGGUGCAUUAGUUAGUUGGUGGGGUAACGGCCUACCAAGACGAUGAUGCAUAGCCGACCUGAGGGGGUGAUCGGCCACAUUGGGACUGAGACACGGCCCAAACUCCUACGGGAGGCAGCAGUAGGGAAUCUUCCGCAAUGGGCGAAAGCCUGACGGAGCAAUGCCGCGUGAGUGAAGAAGGCCUUCGGGUCGUAAAACUCUGCUAUAAGAGAAGAACAAAUUGUAGAGUAACUGCUACAGUCUUGACGGUAUCUUAUCAGAAAGCCACGGCUAACUACGUGCCAGCAGCCGCGGUAA